rnacentral:lncRNA from 1 species
GUGAUGGGGGCCUCAGCACUAGGAAGGAGUGGACUAUUGGCGCAUGUAGCAGCUUGAAUAAAUCUGAAAGUCACUACACUGCGUAAGAGAAGCCAAAUAAAAAAGUUCAUGCUGUGUACAGAGGGUGUUGAGAAUGCCUCCUACGUGACGGAAAGCAGAUCCGUGGUUCCCUGCAGACCGGCAGGAGCAGAUUCCAAAGGCACAGGAAGAAGCUUGCAGGUUUCCUUAACGACAACAAAAAAGGGAGUAAUCCUACCUACUGUAAGAGUCAUGACUCUUGAUUGCAGCUGACAGAAGCUCAUGACAGCCUGGUUUAGAUAAAAGGGGAAAGGACGACUGGAAGAAUCUUGGAGUUGGGAAUAUGGCACAUAAUUGAAGGAAGAGCAAUAAAACUAUAGCAGCUGCUCCCAACCCCAGCAACUUUGCUAUCUUAGAACGGAUCACCAGUGAAAGAGGGGAAGUUGCUACUGUGAUGAAUUCUGCCAUGUGGUACCAGACUGCUGCCCAGACCACAGUGUCCUCUGCAACCCUGGUAACUCACAUACAGGCCUGAUUCCACCUACAGCAAAGCUGGAUGCUAUGGUUGGCAGAGGCAAGCCCCUUGCCUGCACUUCAGGCCAAAGCCGGGAUGUGGCCUAGAUGGUUCCUAAGGUCCCUGACAGUCCUGAGAUCUUUCAUCUUGUCUAUUUCAGGUCAAAGGUGCCUACAUGUUCCUUCUAGCUUUGUUUCCCU